rnacentral:lncRNA from 1 species
AACAGAGUAAUCAUCAUCCAAGAAUAAAAGAAUUUCAGAAAGAUAACAAAAUACGACUUAUUAGUCAACUCCCAACAUCUAUACUAGUCUGUCAAGCCUCUAAGAAAAUCAAUAAAACCAGCGAGCCAUUGAGACAUGGCCCAACUGACUCAUACUCAGUUAUCAAAUGUAAACAAUUCCGUGAAACCAACAUCAGACAUCACGUCCUCGGAACAUGAGGACUAACCACAAUAGAGGAUGUAGAAAAG